rnacentral:rRNA from 1 species
AGUGAACGCUGGCGGUAGGCCUAACACAUGCAAGUCGAACGGCAGCACAGUAGAGCUUGCUCUUACGGGUGGCGAGUGGCGGACGGGUGAGGAAUACAUCGGAAUCUACUUUUUCGUGGGGGAAAACGUAGGGAAACUUACGCUAAUACCGCAUACGACCUACGGGUGAAAGCAGGGGAUCUUCGGACCUUGCGCGAUUGAAUGAGCCGAUGUCGGAUUAGCUAGUCGGCGGGGUAAAGGCCCACCAAGGCGACGAUCCGUAGCUGGUCUGAGAGGAUGAUCAGCCACACUGGAACUGAGACACGGUCCAGACUCCUACGGGAGGCAGCAGUGGGGAAUAUUGGACAAUGGGCGCAAGCCUGAUCCAGCCAUACCGCGUGGGUGAAGAAGGCCUUCGGGUUGUAAAGCCCUUUUGUUGGGAAAGAAAAGCAGCAGGUUAAUACCCCGCUGUUCUGACGGUACCCAAAGAAUAAGCACCGGCUAACUUCGUG